rnacentral:tRNA from 1 species
AAAGGUUAAUAAUUUAGGCUUCUAACCUAAAACUAAUGAUUUUAUUCAUUUAAUCUUUA